AUAGUUUCACGCACCCCGUAGAAUUCUGACUUACAAAUGGUAUCGUUUUACAAGAGGGGUUUCAGUUUUCUAGUGGUAUUUUUAGUUCGGCGUUGGCGCUAGUUUACCAAAAUGGUCUUAACUCGUCUCUUUCGCCUGUGUGGAAUCCACAGAUAUUUCAAGAACGUUCCUCAAUGUCAUGGGAGGUAUUUUUGUACAUCGCCACCAUCAAUCGCCCAACUCUCCCAAAAGAUUGGUUUCAUAGGAGACGGAAGCAUGGCUAAAGCAAUUUGCCGAAGUAUCAAGAAGAAAGGUCUCAUUCAGUAUUCCCAAGUAUAUGUUUCAAGCCCAUAUAUAGAAAAUUUGGACAGUUGGAAAGAACUUGGAGCAAAUGUAUCCACAGAUAACUCAAUUGUAGCAAAAGAGGCUGACAUAGUUUUCCUUGCUGUGAAACCUCAUAUUCUAAGUGGGGCCAUAGAAAAUAUAGCAAAUAGUCCAAAUGCUGCGGAAAUUAGAAACAAACUGUUCAUUUCCAUCCUGGCAGGAGUCACUAUAAAAGAUCUUGAAAAAUUGUUGAGCAAAUUCAGAGGUUCAAGAGUGGUGAGAGCAAUGCCGAAUACCCCCAUGUUAAUUGGAGAAGGUUGCACAGUAUAUUGUCCUGGAACCACUGUAACAGAUAGUGACUUGACUAUUGUCAAAAAUAUUUUGGAAGUUACUGGAAUGUGCCAGCUGUUACCUGAACGUAUGAUAAAUGCAGUAGGGGCUGUUUCAGCUAGUGGACCUGCGUUUGUAUAUAUUUUUAUCGAAGCUCUUUCGGAUGGUGGAGUGAGGAUGGGUCUUCACAGAGAUAUGGCAACCAAAUUUGCAGCCCAAACAGUUAUGGGAGCUGCAAAAAUGGUUUUGGAGACAAACAAGCACAUGGGUACUCUGAAGGAUGAAGUUUGUUCUGCUGGAGGACAAACCAUCGCUGGGAUUCAUGCUAUGGAAAGAUGUGCGGUUAGGGGAGCCUUAAUGGAUGCUGUAGAAGCAGCCGCUUUGAAAGCUGCCGAACUUGGAAAGCAAAGCACAGAGUAAUUUUUAUCAGAAUCAAUGACUCUCUACCUACCAUACGGUAAAAUAUCAGUAUUGAUUAUAGGUUCUUGAAAUGCAUUUGAAACUACUUAUAACUUAAGAAGUGCUGAUUUGAUUUCCAUAAAAAA